UGUUUCGGCUAGGGGGCCAUCCCGGCUUACCAACCCGAUGCAAACUGCGAAUACCGGAGAAUGUUAUCACGGGAGACACACGGCGGGUGCUAACGUCCGUCGUGAAGAGGGAAACAACCCAGACCGCCAGCUAAGGUCCCAAAGUCAUGGUUAAGUGGGAAACGAUGUGGGAAGGCCCAGACAGCCAGGAUGUUGGCUUAGAAGCAGCCAUCAUUUAAAGAAAGCGUAAUAGCUCACUGGUCGAGUCGGCCUGCGCGGAAGAUGUAACGGGGCUAAACCAUGCACCGAAGCUGCGGCAGCGACGCUUAUGCGUUCGUUGGGUAGGGGAGCGUUCUGUAAGCCUGUGAAGGUGGCCUGUGAGGGUUGCUGGAGGUAUCAGAAGUGCGAAUGCUGACAUAAGUAACGAUAAAGCGGGUGAAAAGCCCGCUCGCCGGAAGACCAAGGGUUCCUGUCCAACGUUAAUCGGGGCAGGGUGAGUCGACCCCUAAGGCGAGGCCGAAAGGCGUAGUCGAUGGGAAACGGGUUAAUAUUCCCGUACUUGGUGUUACUGCGAAGGGGGGACGGAGAAGGCUAUGUUGGCCGGGCGACGGUU
rnacentral:rRNA from 1 species